UUGGAGGGCAAGUCUGGUGCCAGCAGCCGCGGUAAUUCCAGCUCCAAUAGCGUAUAUUAAAGUUGUUGCAGUUAAAAAGCUCGUAGUUGAAUUUCGGGAUCAGUACGCCGGUCGUGCCUUCGGUAUGCACUGGUGUCACUGGUUUCUCCCUUCUGAAGAACCAUCAUGCCAUUCAGUUGGUGUGGCGGGGAAUCAGGACUGUUACUUUGAAAAAAUUAGAGUGUUUAAAGCAGGCUCGCGCUUGAAUACAUUAGCAUGGAAUAAUGAAAUAGGACGUUUGACCCUAUUUUGUUGGUUUCUAGGAUCGACGUAAUGAUUAAUAGGGAUAGUUGGGGGCAUUAGUAUUCAAUUGUCAGAGGUGAAAUUCUUGGAUUUAUUGAAGACUAACUACUGCGAAAGCAUUUGCCAAGGAUGUUUUCAUUAAUCAAGAACGAAAGUUAGGGGAUCGAAGACGAUCAGAUACCGUCGUAGUCUUAACCAUAAACUAUGCCGACUAGGGAUCGGAUGAUGUUAAUUUUUUAAUGACUCAUUCGGCACCUUACGGGAAAC
rnacentral:rRNA from 1 species